AGCCACUGCUAUCAGGAUUCGACUAAGCCAUGCAAGUUUUCCGCAAGGAAGCGAACAGCUCAGUAACACAUAGUCAAUCUGCGGUGAAGUCUGGGAUACCCUCGGGAAUCUGAGGCUAAACCCGGAUAGAAAACCUAAGAAGGAAAGCUUGGUUUUCGAAAGGCAACGCUCCACCAUGGGACUAUGGCUUAUCAGGCAGUUGGCGGGGUAACGGCCCACCAAACCUACGACGAGUACGGGUUGUGAGAGCAAUGACCCGGAGAUGGGGACUGAGACAAUGCCCCAGGCCCUACGGGGCGCAGCAGGCGCGAAACCUCUGCAAUGUGCGCAAGCACGACAGGGGAAUCCUGAGUGCUCGCACUAUUGUGCGAGCUUUUCUUGAGGCUAAAAACCUCGAGGAAUAAAGGCUGGGCAAGACCGGUGCCAGCAGCCGCGGUAACACCGGCGGCCUGAGUGGUGGCCACAAUUACUGGGUUUAAAGCGUCCGUAGCAGGACUUGAAAAUCCUGGGUAAAAUCCUGGAGCCCAACUUCAGGGCGCGCCCGGGAGACUUCAAGUCUUGGGACUGGGAGAGGGCGAGGGAACUCUAUGUGUAGGGGCUAAAUCCUAUAAUCCAUAGAUGACCACCGGUAGCGAAGGCGCUCGCCUGGAACAGGUCCGGCUGUGAGGGACGAAGCCUAAGGGAGCGAACGGGAUUAGAUACCCCGGUAGUCUUAGGUAUAAACUAUGUAGGCCGGGUGUCGCUGUUACCAAGAGUGACAGCGGUGCCGAAGGGAAACCGUUAAGCCUACCACCUGGGGAGUACGGUCGCAAGACUGAAACUUAAAGGAAUUGGCGGGGGGGCACCACAAGGGGUGAAGCUUGCGGUUC
rnacentral:rRNA from 1 species